rnacentral:rRNA from 1 species
ACGCUAGCUACAGGCUUAACACAUGCAAGUCGAGGGGCAGCAUUUUAGUUUGCUUGCAAACUGAAGAUGGCGACCGGCGCACGGGUGAGUAACACGUAUCCAACCUGCCGAUAACUCCGGAAUAGCCUUUCGAAAGAAAGAUUAAUACCGGAUAGUAUACGAAUAUCGCAUGGUAUUUUUAUUAAAGAAUUUCGGUUAUCGAUGGGGAUGCGUUCCAUUAGUUUGUUGGCGGGGUAACGGCCCACCAAGACUACGAUGGAUAGGGGUUCUGAGAGGAAGGUCCCCCACAUUGGAACUGAGACACGGUCCAAACUCCUACGGGAGGCAGCAGUGAGGAAUAUUGGUCAAUGGGCGAGAGCCUGAACCAGCCAAGUAGCGUGAAGGAUGAAGGCUCUAUGGGUCGUAAACUUCUUUUAUAUGGGAAUAAAGUUUUCCACGUGUGGAAUUUUGUAUGUACCAUAUGAAUAAGGAUCGGCUAACUCCGUGCCAGCAGCCGCGGUAAUACGGAGGAUCCGAGCGUUAUCCGGAUUUAUUGGGUUUAAAGGGAGCGUAGGUGGAUUGCUAAGUCAGUUGUGAAAGUUUGCGGCUCAACCGUAAAAUUGCAGUUGAAACUGGCAGUCUUGAGUACAGUAGAGGUGGGCGGAAUUCGUGGUGUAGCGGUGAAAUGCUUAGAUAUCACGAAGAACUCCGAUUGCGAAGGCAGCUCACUAGACUGUCACUGACACUGAUGCUCGAAAGUGUGGGUAUCAAACAGGAUUAGAUACCCUGGUAGUCCACACAGUAAACGAUGAAUACUCGCUGUUUGCGAUAUACAGUAAGCGGCCAAGCGAAAGCAUUAAGUAUUCCACCUGGGGAGUACGCCGGCAACGGUGAAACUCAAAGGAAUUGACGGGGGCCCGCACAAGCGGAGGAACAUGUGGUUUAAUUCGAUGAUACGCGAGGAACCUUACCCGGGCUUAAAUUGCAACAGAAUAUAUUGGAAACAGUAUAGCCGUAAGGCUGUUGUGAAGGUGCUGCAUGGUUGUCGUCAGCUCGUGCCGUGAGGUGUCGGCUUAAGUGCCAUAACGAGCGCAACCCUUAUCUUUAGUUACUAACAGGUGAUGCUGAGGACUCUAGAGAGACUGCCGUCGUAAGAUGUGAGGAAGGUGGGGAUGACGUCAAAUCAGCACGGCCCUUACGUCCGGGGCUACACACGUGUUACAAUGGGGGGUACAGAAGGCGGCUACCUGGUGACAGGAUGCUAAUCCCAAAAACCUCUCUCAGUUCGGAUCGAAGUCUGCAACCCGACUUCGUGAAGCUGGAUUCGCUAGUAAUCGCGCAUCAGCCAUGGCGCGGUGAAUACGUUCCCGGGCCUUGUACACACCGCCCGUCAAGCCAUGAAAGCCGGGGGUACAUGAAGUACGUAACCGCAAGGAGCGUCCUAGGGUAAAACU